rnacentral:rRNA from 1 species
UACGUAGGGUGCGAGCGUUAAUCGGAAUUACUGGGCGUAAAGCGUGCGCAGGCGGUCUGUUAAGACCGAUGUGAAAUCCCCGGGCUUAACCUGGGAACUGCAUUGGUGACUGGCAGGCUUUGAGUGUGGCAGAGGGGGGUAGAAUUCCACGUGUAGCAGUGAAAUGCGUAGAGAUGUGGAGGAAUACCGAUGGCGAAGGCAGCCCCCUGGGCCAAUACUGACGCUCAUGCACGAAAGCGUGGGGAGCAAACAGG